rnacentral:rRNA from 1 species
UACGUAGGGUGCAAGCGUUAAUCGGAAUUACUGGGCGUAAAGCGUGCGCAGGUGGUUAUGUAAGCCAGAUGUGAAAUCCCCGGGCUUAACCUGGGAAUGGCAUUUGGGACUGCAUGGCUAGAGUGUGGCAGAGGGGGGUGGAAUUCCGCGUGUAGCAGUGAAAUGCGUAGAGAUGCGGAGGAACACCGAUGGCGAAGGCAGCCCCCUGGGUUAACACUGACACUCAUGCACGAAAGCGUGGGGAGCAAACAGG